UUCUUUUUAAUAUAAAAAGUAUAUUUAAUUUCCAAUUAAAAAGUUUAAUCUUAAAAAAGAAA
rnacentral:tRNA from 1 species